AAAAGACUUAGUCCUAACCUUUCUAUUGGUUUUUGCUAGACAUAUACAUGCAAGUAUCCGCAUCCCAGUGAAAAUGCCCCCAAACCUUUCUUCCCAAGCAAAAGGAGCAGGUAUCAGGCACACUCAGCAGUAGCCCAAGACGCCUUGCUUAAGCCACACCCCCACGGGUACUCAGCAGUAAUUAACCUUAAGCAAUAAGUGUAAACUUGACUUAGCCAUAGCAACCCAGGGUUGGUAAAUCUUGUGCCAGCCACCGCGGUCAUACAAGAAACCCAAAUCAAUAGCUACCCGGCGUAAAGAGUGGCCACAUGUUAUCUGCACCAGCUAAGAUUAAAAUGCAACCAAGCUGUCAUAAGCCUAAGAUCCACCUAAACCCAACCCAAAUCCAUCUUAGCCUAAACGAUUAAUUUUAACCCACGAAAGCUAGGACCCAAACUGGGAUUAGAUACCCCACUAUGCCUAGCCCUAAAUCUAGAUACCUCCCAUCACACAUGUAUCCGCCUGAGAACUACGAGCACAAACGCUUAAAACUCUAAGGACUUGGCGGUGCCCCAAACCCACCUAGAGGAGCCUGUU
rnacentral:rRNA from 1 species